rnacentral:rRNA from 1 species
CCCUUAGAUGUUCUGGGCCGCACGCGCGCUACACUGAUGCAUUCAACGAGCCUAUCCUUGACCGACAGGUCCGGGUAAUCUUUGAAUCUGCAUCGUGACGGGGAUAGAUCAUUGCAAUUAUUGAUCUUGAACGAGGAAUUCCUAGUAAGCGCAAGUCAUCAACUUGCGUUGAUUACGUCCCUGCCCUUUGUACACACCGCCCGUCGCUACUGCCAACUGAGAUGGGUCCUGAAUUGUUAGGAACGCCCGUCAAGGGGCCUACCCGGUCCCUAGUGCGGUGACGAGAAUAACUGUAAAUGGCAUAUCUUGUAGGGAGUAAAAGUCGUAACA